UCCACAUCUGGAAAGGGUUAGAGUGGUGCAAGUAACUGGGCUGCUAGGCAGAAAGAGACUCCUCUCUUGCCCCCUCCUGAUCGUGUUCUUUCCCAAAGCUCUGUAGAAGAUGUUUCAGUGAGGCUGGGUGCCAGGGUAGGGAGAGUGGAGACAUUAAAGGAAGCAGGGUCCCCAGGGACUGCCUUCUCCAUGCUCCUGCUGCUUCUUGUCUCUGCCCCCAGGGUCUGCCUCCAUCCCCUUUCCUGCAGAGCUACUCUGAUCACUCAGCCUGUUCUCAGCAGAAACCACUUCCCUUCUCAGUCUUGGGCUGGAUUCGUCCUCAGUGGUCAGAGCACUGUUUAUCCAGCCUGGAACACCAGUCCAGGCAGGAAGGGACCACUGCUCUAUUAAGGUCUCCAGAGGCAGGCCUAGGCUCCUUGUGGGAUACACUUGAAUAUGCAUAUUGAUAUUGGAGCUGGAGCCUUAGGCUUGCUCAGCUCAAUCUCAGACCUAACUAGUUCCUUUUGUCUUAGAGAACUGUGAAUCCCUGGAUUUCUUUCUGGACUUGAGAGACAACUUCAGAUCAAAGAAGACACUUUGGCUCAGAUCAUGUUCUGGAAGCAUGGGGUUGAAGUGACCCGGAGAGUUCAGAAGACUCCAGCUGCCUGCCAGCAUCUAAGCCGGAAAUUUCAGAACCAAAGUGAACCUUGUGCCUUGUUCCUGGCUACACCAACCAGCAGGCAGUACAAGCCUAGCUGAAACCACUGUUUAAAAGCCAGAUGUGAGCUGGGGAUAUUGCUCAUUGAUAAAGUACCUGCCUAGCAUGCAGGAGGCUCCGAAUUUGAUUCCUAGAAGUACAUAACAUGGGGCAUUGUGACACACAACCCCAGCACUAAGGAGGUGGAAGCUAGGGAUCGGAAGUUCAAGGUCAUCCUCAGCUGGAUACUCAGCCAUCAGAGGUCAAACUGGGCUACAUGAGACCCUGUCUCAAUAAAACAGCAAAACCUCACAAACUAGAUACAAGAUCGUUUACCCAUGAGGUGAUCCAGAGAGUGCUCCACAUUUGGUGGCAAUUCACUGAGCUAGUUGUUGUCCCUGACAGACAGAAGGGAAUAGAGGAAGCAGGGAGGGCUGAGGAACAGCAGAAACGGAGAGAAGGAGAAAUGGGGUUUGGUGUUUCACUGUGAACCUUAACCUAAGUACAGAAAGAACUUUUCAGACAUCUUUCUUUCCCUCACUACAUGUCUGCAAGAAAAACACCCUGAACAGUGCAGAAAUGGUCAUGGUUAGGACAUCCCAGGAGCCAUACUGGGUUCUGAGUCACUGAUAGAUGGGAAAAGGUGGAGGUCUGUGAUUCACAGAGCCCAGUUCUCUGUCUGGUGGAGACCCAGUUCAACCAAGGCGGGCAUUGCUGGCCCGAUUGUUGGCUUAUUAGGCACCAGUCAGUAGACAUCAAGUUCUAAGGGGAAGCCUGAUAGCCUCACUGUAAAAGUCAGGUCUCCAUGGUCAAUGUAGCAGCCCCAAAUUGUCUAAAGGUUGCAAAGGAGACUCCUGCAUCCAAACUAAGUAUAAAUGUCAGCUUCCCAUGAGGCUGAUGACAUGGGGCCUUGGGAGGGUAACAGAGGGUCUCUCUGCCCUUUUGCUCUCCUCCCAACCUUUGUUGCGUUCUCAGACUUACUCCCUCACUGCCUUUUUUCUUGACUGUCCCAUCCAAUAAACCACUUUAUGCCAAA